CCUACGGGAGGCAGCAGUGAGGAAUAUUGGUCAAUGGGCGCGAGCCUGAACCAGCCAAGUAGCGUGAAGGAUGACUGCCCUACGGGUUGUAACCUUCUUUUAUAAAGGAAUAAAGUGAGGCACGUGAGCCUUUUUGUAUGUACUUUAUGAAUAAGGAUCGGCGAACUCCGGGCCAGCAGCCGCGGUAAUACGGAGGAUCCGAGCGUUAUCCGGAUUUAUUGGGUUUAAAGGGAGCGUAGAUGGGUUGUUAAGUUAGUUGUGAAAGUUUGCGGGUCAAACGUAAAAUUGCAAUUGAUACUGGCAGCCUUGAGUGCAGUUGAGGUAGGCGGAAUUCGUGGUGUAGCGGUGAAAUGCUUAGAUAUCACGAAGAACUCCGAUUGCGAAGGCAGCUUACUAAACUGCCACUGACAUUGAUGCUCGAAAGUGUGGGUAUCAAACAGGAUUAGAUACCCCUGUAGUC
rnacentral:rRNA from 1 species